rnacentral:rRNA from 1 species
UAGGUUACCUUGUUACGACUUCACCCCAGUCGCUGACCUUACCGUGGCCUGCUGCCUCUAAAAGUUAGCACACAGUCUUCGGGUAAAACCAACUCCCAUGGUGUGACGGGCGGUGUGUACAAGGCCCGGGAACGUAUUCACCGUGGCAUGCUGAUCCACGAUUACUAGCGAUUCCAACUUCAUGCUCUCGAGUUGCAGAGAACAAUCCGAACUGAGACGGCUUUUAGAGAUUAGCUCCUCAUCGCUGAGUGGCUGCUCACUGUCACCGCCAUUGUAGCACGUGUGUAGCCCGGCCCGUAAGGGCCAUGAUGAUUUGACGUCAUCCCCACCUUCCUCCGGCUUAUCACCGGCAGUCCCUCUAGAGUGCCCAACUUAAUGCUGGCAACUAAAGGCGAGGGUUGCGCUCGUUGCGGGACUUAACCCAACAUCUCACGACACGAGCUGACGACAACCAUGCAGCACCUGUAUCCAAUCCAGCCGAACUGAAGGAAAGCAUCUCUGCUAUCCGCGAUUGGUAUGUCAAGGGCCGGUAAGGUUCUUCGCGUUGCCUCGAAUUAAACCACAUGCUCCACCGCUUGUGCGGGCCCCCGUCAAUUCCUUUGAGUUUUAGUCUUGCGACCGUAGUCCCCAGGCGGGGUGCUUAACGCGUUAGCUGCGUCACCAAACAGCAUGCUGCCUGAACACUAGCACCCAUCGUUU